CAGUCGAACGAACUUCCGUUAAUUGAUUAUGACGUGCUUGCACUGAAUGAGAUUUUAACACGAAGUGAGUGGCGGACGGGUGAGUAACACGUGGGUAACCUGCCCAGAAGCAGGGGAUAACACCUGGAAACAGAUGCUAAUACCGUAUAACAGAGAAAACCGCCUGGUUUUCUUUUAAAAGAUGGCUCUGCUAUCACUUCUGGAUGGACCCGCGGCGCAUUAGCUAGUUGGUGAGGUAACGGCUCACCAAGGCGAUGAUGCGUAGCCGACCUGAGAGGGUAAUCGGCCACAUUGGGACUGAGACACGGCCCAGACUCCUACGGGAGGCAGCAGUAGGGAAUCUUCCACAAUGGACGCAAGUCUGAUGGAGCAACGCCGCGUGAGUGAAGAAGGGUUUCGGCUCGUAAAGCUCUGUUGUUAAAGAAGAACGUGGGUGAGAGUAACUGUUCACCCAGUGACGGUAUUUAACCAGAAAGCCACGGCUAACUACGUGCCAGCAGCCGCGGUAAUACGUAGGUGGCAAGCGUUAUCCGGAUUUAUUGGGCGUAAAGCGAGCGCAGGCGGUCUUUUAAGUCUAAUGUGAAAGCCUUCGGCUCAACCGAAGAAGUGCAUUGGAAACUGGGAGACUUGAGUGCAGAAGAGGACAGUGGAACUCCAUGUGUAGCGGUGAAAUGCGUAGAUAUAUGGAAGAACACCAGUGGCGAAGGCGGCUGUCUGGUCUGUAACUGACGCUGAGGCUCGAAAGCAUGGGUAGCGAACAGGAUUAGAUACCCUGGUAGUCCAUGCCGUAAACGAUGAUUACUAAGUGUUGGAGGGUUUCCGCCCUUCAGUGCUGCAGCUAACGCAUUAAGUAAUCCGCCUGG
rnacentral:rRNA from 1 species